rnacentral:rRNA from 1 species
UACGAAGGGGGCUAGCGUUGCUCGGAAUGACUGGGCGUAAAGCGUGCGCAGGCGGUUUUGGAAGUCAGGUGUGAAAUCCCCGGGCUCAACCUGGGAAUGGCAUUUGGGACUGCAAGGCUGGAGUGCGGCAGAGGAGACUGGAAUUCCUGGUGUAGCAGUGAAAUGCGUAGAUAUCAGGAGGAAUACCGAUGGCGAAGGCAGGUCUCUGGGCUGACACUGACGCUCAUGCACGAAAGCGUGGGGAGCAAACAGG